UACGUAGGGUGCAAGCGUUGUCCGGAAUUACUGGGCGUAAAGCGCACGUAGGCGGCUUUGCAAGUUAGAGGUGAAAGCCCGGAGCUCAACUCCGGAAUUGCCUUUAAAACUGCAUCGCUAGAAUUGUGGAGAGGUAAGUGGAAUUCCGAGUGUAGAGGUGAAAUUCGUAGAUAUUCGGAAGAACACCAGUGGCGAAGGCGACUUACUGGACACAUAUUGACGCUGAGGUGCGAAAGCGUGGGGAGCAAACAGG
rnacentral:rRNA from 1 species